ensembl:lncRNA
AAAAAUCAUCACAAGAAUAAAAACGUUAAAUGACCUAACCUCGGGCUAGCUGUGCUGUCAGGUCUAAGAGUCUGGCUUUGAGGGUUUUUUGUGUUUUGUUUUUUGGCAUUUCAAAUGUAUAUCCUGUCUUGUUUGAACCCUUGUUGCUUGUACAAACAAAAACACGUACUACUACCCUCCACAUUUUCCCCCCAAAUGAGAACGCAGCUGUCUCUGCAUGGCGAUUCCCUGCAUAGCGCUGAGAGAAUCAUGUAAUGUCUGUGAGUUCCUCGCAGAUUGGGAAAGAAUUCGGGAAAGGGUGUUCAUUGUCACAAAGUUGUUGCAUGGCUUUUUGGGCUCUCUGUACGCUCUGUUGUAUGAUUUCAUACUUGCUGCUAUUGAAUGAGCACAAAGAGACAUCAGAUUUUGGUUUAGGGUGUCCAUACCACAGUUACAGUAUAUUUAUACCACACAUACCUGUUGGGGUUUUUCUUUUGUUUGUUUGGGUUUUUUUGUCCCCCCAAUCUUUCUUUUUUCCCUCCCUGUGGCAGUUAAAAGACCAACAGCAUUACUCACCUUGCACUUGGUUUGUACACUUAAAAGGAAAAAAAAAUAUUUUGAAUAUGAUGCCUGCUGAACCAGGUGCCUUAAUCAGUUAUAUGAGAACACAAAUCUGCACCUUCUGUCAGUCUGGAGGGGGUUUCCCUACAGAAACCAGGGACUGGGUUUCCCAAAACCUAAACUUGAAGUUCAAUAAUGAAAUGAAAACCUCAUCUGAACCCUAAAUCAGUGCAUUUUAUAGAAUAGUCAACCUUUAGAGGCAGAUGAGAGCCGUUAAUCGUGUCUCGAUCGUAGAAUAGCCUUUCUGAAGAAGAGCAGAAAAGACAACCUGUAAAUUGAAUUGUUUUGGGAAACCUGGUUCUGUUUUGAACUCUUUCUCUGCCCACUAUGCCACGUUAUCGUGUAUUCUGCAUUGCUGCUGCUGCUGCUAUCACCGCUGGUGUGUCCGCGUAGAGAAGAGCAAACUUCCACUGUGUCUGAGACAGAGGGAGACUUGGGCCUGCUUUUUACCUAGACAAUUGCAAUGCAUUCUUCUUCUUCUAAGGUUUCGACACGGAGCACUCUGUUGCUGCCUUUUGAGACCUUGUCGAGACAGGAAAAAUAAAGAUCCCAAAUAAACGCGAACUUUCCAUUUCUUAACUUUGCUAUUAUGAAGUGCCAGACCCUCCUUGAAGUCAGUGUUGGCACUGAGUCGCAGGUUGCGAAUGAAGCGACAAACUGAGCAUGGAGGUACACUGUGGUGCUAAUCUGUCAGUGGCUGGGUGCUAACAUGGCUGUGUUAAAUAGCUGUAUUAGCCAUAUUAUUCCUUCUGUUGAUGACUCUGGUCAGUCUUGUGUUUCUGACUUCUGACCUGCUGUAUGCUGAUAUAGCGAGGUAUAAUUCUGCUGCUGCUGCUUUGCUGAUGAAUGUAGACUAGUCUUCCUCAGCAGGAUCAUACAGACAGACGAGUGUUUGGCAGAGCUUUUCCUGUUGUCUCAACAGAGGGAGACUCUUUGUCAUCAGGAUCCAGAAAGAUCAUGAAUGUUGUAUCUUUUAAUGGCCGCUGUCCUGCUUGUGUGUUUCAAUCUUUUUUUUUUUUUUAUUAAUAUUAUGGUUUGAUAUUUAUGCUCUGACUCUAUCAAAUGUUGCACUUUUUUCCCUAAAUUAUAUUUUAUUGUCAUUUUCUCUGAUCCCAGUGUUCUUGCCAUUUCUUUAUUUAUUUGUUUGGUCCUGUAAUUUAACAAUGCAAGGAGACAAUGAUUGAAGCUAGACUUUAAAGCUUUCCACUGAAGCAGUCUUUACCACAAGUCAGAGACUUGUCAUGAGAUUCACAGAUCUUAAUCAAAGUCACAAUGAAACUAGAAACUGUUCAUACAAAAAGUAUAUAUAGAUUUUUUUGACAAAGAUCUAAUUAGUAUAGAAGAGAAUUAGGACCACUGGAAAAAAUCUUCAAGUUUUGACUUUUUUCUUAAAAAAAAAAAGGCUGAAAUCUGAGAUUUAAAAUCAAAAUCAUGAGAAAAAAGUCUGGGGAAAAAAAAAACUGGGAAGUAUAUUUCAAUUUUUUCCCUCAACCUAUUCUGUAAAUAGCUUUUACGUACGUACCUGUAAUAGCAUCUAGAGAUGUAAAUGGCCACUAACUAAUACUCAGUUAGAGAUAAAUAAAUUUGUUUACAAUUAGCUCACCUAUCACAAAUUGGAAAAUAGACACUUUAACAUAACGAUUACAAAACUUAAAAAAAGUAAAAUGUGAAUCGUCCUAUAUUAGUUAUUACUUACUAAUAUUUACUCUUUUUGCGCAAAUAGAGUUAUGAUUGGCGUGACUGAGCUUCAUGAGGUAUACUCUACUGACAUGUACCCAGACAUCCUCUUGCAUAAUAGUCUAAUAAUGACUCCCUCCAUUAAAGGAGCAUUGCAACCAUUUUUAAGUGGUAGAUGAUUUGUUUUCUUACUAUAACUUAGCUGAGAAGUUUGAUGUCACUGCAGCCAGCAGCCAGUUAGCACAAAUACUGGAAACAGGAGACAAAGUAGGGCGGUUCUGCCAGCACUUUAUAGUCACAAAUGCAUGUUUGUUUUUUUAGGUGAUAUAGAUAUAUACGGGGACUCUCUUUGGCCAGUCAACCAAAAGAGACUUCAGAUGUUUGCUGUGAUGAGAGAUGGAGACUUAAAAUGAAACGUUAAGCAGAUGUAAGACUGAAGAUGGUCUAAUGAGAUAAAAAUAAUUAAUUAUUUUCUAAGUAAACAGGUCCGAGUCAGACUGUAGUUUCAUUGUGAGUUUGAAUUAUCGCUGUCUGUGAGGCCAAUGAAGCGGAAGUUUAAUAAGUCCUGAGAAAAGCUCGCUGGGUCACCACACUGAACCUUGCCUUCAGGUGACUCUUUGGUCAUGACUCUGGGCUGAGGUUCAGGUGCUCCACCACCACGGAGCUGAGGUCAGGAGUUGGCUUGCUUGCGGUCUCUAACUUUUGGUGGGGAAAUUGAAAAUUUAGUUUUAAGGAAGUCAAACUUUACCACUGCGCCAGAGAUGUUUUGCCCCUUCUAGGUGCUUUUUUAAUUUUUAUUUUUUUCAGAAGGGCUUUGGUUCGCAGUUGUCUUGUCAGGGAACCCCUGAGAUUAGCCAGGGGCCACUAAAGGCUGGUGGGCAGAGACCCCUCACCUUCCCCUUUGCAAUGAAUGAUGGGGAAGGGUUAAUCUCCUCUUCCGGCAGACUGAUUCAAGCAAACAACCACCCACACUUAAUAAUAAUAAUAAAAAAGAAAACCCCUCUUUCUAUUUCUACACACGUCCAACUCAUCAUCCAAACACUGCAAUGAUUUACAUCUCCUUCCAGACUUGCCAAAAUGCAUGGAGCAAGAGACAUUUACCGAAAAAAGACGACAUUUAUCUUAAAGCAUCUGUUUGGUUACUAUUCUCUCUUUAUAAAUUUUAAUAAUGACAGACAGACGGAGGAUUAUAAUAGGAAAUCCGUACAAGUCCAAACAUGUAGAGGAUGUGGAAGGUAUCGGCCAUACUGAGCUCCACAGCUACAUGCCAUUGUUACGAUGCUUCUGGUCUUGUAUGGUAUUUGACUCGAUCAACAGCAUGGGAUCUUUCUGUAGUUAGUCCUGUGUGUGUUCCUCUCCCCAGUCUCAGUAGGAGGGCUGUACUUCAUUGCUAAGUGCUCUAUAAUAGAUCUCUUGGUGAUUAUAAUUUCAUAAAGAAGCAAAACCUGCAGAAAAAGUGUAUCCUGCUGAAACUAACUUGAUCCUCUCUUUAGCAAUGACGUCUAUAUUUGUAGUUCACAUAUAUGCCUGUUCAAAUACAAUAUCUUGACAGUUGUUAUAUUUAUGUUGUGUAAUAAAUGUUGUGCUGGGUUUAUACUUUUGUUUUGACUAACUUUUUGUUUAACGUUGUAUUUUUUUUUUAUUUCUCUUCUUGGAGGCACAGUUGGUGGCUUUAUGCACAGGCAUGGAAAAGUUAAAGACAUUUAUUUUAUUAUUAUUAUUUUUUUGGUUUGUACUGUAACAGCCCAAUUCUCUUUCAGAGCUUCUGACAGUUUUUGUCUCUGGCUGCUCGACAUUCUGCAGACACCUGCCCUGAAUCUCUGUUGUGUUAUUGUGCCUCUCUCUUUAUUUUCUGUUCUUCUUUUUUUUUUUUUUUUUAAAUCGUUUUUCUCUGUUGUAUCAACCAGGAGUUGGUACCACAGCUCUGCUUGUAACCACGUUAGUCUGAUUAUGUUUAUUGAUUUUAAUAUCAAAACAAUAAAACCAUUAGCACCCCA